rnacentral:tRNA from 1 species
GCCCGGGUGGCGGAAUAGGUAGACGCACGGGACUCAAAAUCCCGCGCCAGUGAUGGCGUGCCGGUUCGAUUCCGGCCCCGGGCACCA